GUAGGUCCCCUCCCCCUUUCCUCCCUUCCCUCUCUCAUUCUUUGCUGUUAGGAGGAAGCCCCAGCAGCAUGAGGUGUUUACUAAACAUCUAAAGAGCUGUUCCAGUAGUGAUUGCUGGGAGAGCAUGUUAUUACAGGUGUGCUGCCCACUCGGAUGUGGUUUUUAAUAAAACCACAGGAAGUCAAUAAACAUAUGCAAGUAGAAGGGAAAAAGACAUUCACUAAGAAGAAAGGAACAGACGAAGACAUUAAUAGCUAAAACAUCUGCAAACUUAUUGACAGUAAAACUAACCAAUCAAGGCACAGAUGCAAACAGGGCUCAGGAGAUAUUACAAACUGAAGUCAGUGCAGAAAUGAAGAAUGAAGAAAAGAAGAAUCUGCAGACUAACUUUACUUUGAGAACCAACUCUGAACUUUUGCUACUGAUUUCAUUCUACUCCCACAGGUAUAAAAAGAAUAAAAGAGGCUUUCAGAGCAGCUUAUGAAGAAAAGUUUUAAAGUGAUGCUCUCUCUUAUAUUUUUGGUUCACCAUCUUGUGCUGAUGCUGCCUGCUGUCAAAGCAGAAUUCAAAAUCGAAGAUAAAACAAGCAAUCUACAUGUUACUUUACUGUCAUUAAUCUUCAUUAUGAUUUGCCUUGCUUUCGUAAUUGCCUGGAGGAAGCUUAUUCACAUGAAUGGGGGACAAAAAUAUCACCCUCAAGAUCUUUGGGUUCGGACACAGGAUAUGAUAGAGGAAAUGAUAAGCCAUUUUGGGCAUGAUACAGAAGGGAGCAUAACUGAAAGAGAGAACCAAGAUGAAGAAGAGGUAGAUAAAGAAGAUGAAGAAAGAGGGGAUGAAGAUCGUCAUGUUACUGCACUUUGAAAUAAAGAAUGGAACAAUUAGAACACAAUUUUUUUGGCUUAGGCUAGAAGUGAAUUGGAAGUAGAAUAAUGCUUAUUGUGCUUCAUUUUUUGUAACAUUUGUCUUUCAUCAUAUUUUUAUAGAAACAUAUUAAAAGCAUUAACUGAAAAUAAUGAA